UAGGGAAUCUUCCACAAUGGACGCAAGUCUGAUGGAGCAACGCCGCGUGAGUGAAGAAGGUUUUCGGAUCGUAAAGCUCUGUUGUUGGUGAAGAAGGAUAGAGGUAGUAACUGGCCUUUAUUUGACGGUAAUCAACCAGAAAGUCACGGCUAACUACGUGCCAGCAGCCGCGGUAAUACGUAGGUGGCAAGCGUUUUCCGGAUUUAUUGGGCGUAAAGCGAGCGCAGGCGGAAGAAUAAGUCUGAUGUGAAAGCCCUCGGCUUAACCGAGGAACUGCAUCGGAAACUGUGUUUCUUGAGUGCAGAAGAGGAGAGUGGAACUCCAUGUGUAGCGGUGGAAUGCGUAGAUAUAUGGAAGAACACCAGUGGCGAAGGCGACUCUCUGGUCUGCAACUGACGCUGAGGCUCGAAAGCAUGGGUAGCGAACAGG
rnacentral:rRNA from 1 species